AACGAACGCUGGCGGCGUGCCUAACACAUGCAAGUCGAACGGAUGUAGCAAUACAUUAGUGGCGCACGGGUGAGUAACGCGUGGGAAUCUGCCUUAUAGACGGGGAUAACACUGGGAAACUAGUGCUAAUACCGGAUACGCCCUUAGGGGGAAAGGUUUUCGCUAUAAGAUGAGCCCGCGUUGGAUUAGCUAGUUGGUGAGGUAAAGGCUCACCAAGGCGACGAUCCAUAGCUGGUCUGAGGAUGAUCAGCCACACUGGGACUGAGACACGGCCCAGACUCCUACGGGAGGUAGCAGUGGGGAAUAUUGGACAAUGGGGGCAACCCUGAUCCAGCAACGCCGCGUGGAUGAUGAAGGUCUUCGGAUUGUAAAGUCCUUUUGGCGGGGACGAUGAUGACGGUACCCGCAGAAUAAGCUCCGGCUAACUUCGUGCCAGCCGCCGCAGUAA
rnacentral:rRNA from 1 species